CAUCCACCCACCCCUGAGCUGGCAGCUCACCAGCACUGGGUCCAGGCAGGGAGGGAGCUACAUGCCUCAGGGAGGAGUAGGACGACCCACCAAGGAGGAGACCAGUGAACAGCCGCUCUCCUCUCCCUUAUGCCCCCACACUCCCUGUCUUCCUGCCACCAACCCAUCUGGGUCCCCACCACCAGCACCAUUUUAUGCAGCAUUCCAGGCUGGCUCUGAGGCGGUUUUCUGACCUUGACUUUGCUAUUUCCAAAGGUCAGUUCCACAAGAGGACAAUCAAUUAGAUAAGCUUACCAACUGUCAUAGAAGCAGUUUAAUAUUCUAACAAUUUGUCUAGCCAAACCAGCCGAAUUCAAGGACUCUGUUUCUCGUGUCCUCAAGGAACUGGAUCAAUCAGACAAGGACAUUUGCAUCCUCCCACCGCAGCUACAUGCGACUGCGUGGAGUCUGUCACCUGAAUGCCUCCUGCUGCAAAGGAUAGGAUGUUUAUGCUCCUAGAGUAAGGACCUUGUCUCUCCUUCACAACAGUCCGCUGGCCAGAGAUCACCUCAGAGUAGAAGCAACAUGUCUGUCUGCUGUACAGGGAAGACCUGGACCACCUUUCAGGGUUGGCUGUGCCUGUGUCAGGAAGCUGCUUUCCCACAUCCCUCAGU